UACGAAGGGGGCUAGCGUUGCUCGGAAUCACUGGGCGUAAAGGGUGCGUAGGCGGGUCUUUAAGUCAGGGGUGAAAUCCUGGAGCCCAACUCCAGAACUGCCUUUGAUACUGAGGAUCUUGAGUUCGGGAGAGGUAAGUGGAACUGCGAGUGUAGAGGUGAAAUUCGUAGAUAUUCGCAAGAACACCAGUGGCGAAGGCGGCUCACUGGCCCGAUACUGACGCUGAGGCACGAAAGCGUGGGGAGCAAACAGG
rnacentral:rRNA from 1 species